CAGACUGUUCUAUCAGCUUUAGCUGAAAAGUGAAGACGAGUAGCAGAGGCACACCCUACCAGCAACAUUCAUGUGACACGAGUGCUCAUGUUCAUGGGAGAAACAACCUUUAUUGUCGUAAGCCACUGAGAUUUUGAAGUUUGUUACUGAAGCAUAACCUAGACUCUCCUUACUGAUUCAACUUCAUUUUAGAGUGGCUUCUAGUUGGUAAUAGCAAAAGAGGAGGCAUUUCAAUGCCAUCAGUAAUGUACCUCCAAAUCCCACGGUGGGAUGGCUUAUUUAGGUGACAGUCUCAUACGCAAAGCUAGGCACAACCAGAGUAGGUGGAUUUUUCUUUUCAUCUCUGAGUCUUUUCCCAUCCAAUUUGGGCAAAGUCAUUCUCAUCCAUUCAUUUCACAAAUAUUGAGAGUCAACAAAAUGCGAGGCAUUGUGCAACAAACCAGAUAAACACCGUGCCUGUCUCAGUAGAGGUUUUAUUCUAGUGGAAAAGACAGACAAAUAAUUACACUGAUUUAAAAGCAACUGUGAUAAAAUGCUUAGAUGAUGAAGUCCAGGGUGAGUGUGGACCAUGUAACAGUGGACUUGACAGGGUCUGCGUCAUCUUUCUCUUCCAUGCCCCCAGAAAUAAGUGUGUUGCCUAAAGUUACUCAACCAGUAAAAGAGAGAGAACUAGAACCAUGUCUUCUUACUUUGGCCUUCUGUGGUCUUUGGACCAAACCUUGGAAUGCACCUUCUAUUUGAGCCAAUAACCCUGUUUUCACUAUUUAUAAUCAUUGGAAGAGCCAACUGGAAUUUGGAGGAAUCACCAUACCCAUUUCAGAUUUUUAAAAAUAUUCAAAACACAAGUACCACUGAUACUGGGUGAGUUGAACCAUCCCCAUUCCCAAAGGUUGAUGCUAUAUCCUUGAUUUUUACAAGCAUCACUAAACUAAAACACUCAACACACCCAUGUUGGGCCACAUAGAUGUGUUGGCAUGUGUUGGUCUUGCUUCAUAAUAGCAUUUCAACAGUAACAGCAACACAGCCAAGUGGGUGCUUUCCUAUAUGGGUUGAAACAUUUUGUCUGAAAGCGAUAAUCUUCAAUAUUGCAAUUUUGUCAAAUUCUUUUAUUUUACCAUAAUCCAGGAAUUAUCCCAAUUUGUCAUUAUUCAAUUCAACGCAAGUUUCCUUCGUACUUACUAUGAGCCAAAUUCUAGGGACACAAAGAAAAAUAGGACUCAGUCUCUGCUCUAAAGGAACUCACAGUCCAGUAGUUAACUCAUUAACAAACGAAGAACUUCGAUUAUCGGCCACUUAUUCUUCACACUUCUUUCCAAACCCAAAGCUCUCCUAGCAUGCUGACACAAAGGACCAUCAAGAGAAGUCACAUUGGAUUUUACUUCUUCAUUUCGCUUUCUUAGCACUCGUCUUCCUUCAUAACUUCAAGAUGGGCUCGACAAUAUGACCCUCCAUUAAAAUCCAACUCCUUGGCACCACAGGGCUUGGGAAGAUCAAUCAUGGAGGCAAUCUUGGUAAUCCAAAGAUGGGCACCCCUAUUUGGACCUGCCUCUACCAAGAUGUGUGUUGAAGUCCCUAAGCCUUGUUUCUUUUCUGGGGGUUUUGUUUGCUCGUUUGUAAGAUCCGCCUGAAAGGCUCAGCUUUGUUUCAGCACCAAGAUUGCUUUCCUUGCUUUGAAAUAUCUAUACCUAGCUACUACUUCUAAAAAAAAGUUACUUAAGCAUUCCAAGAAGCCGUCUUGCAGUACGGUUUUGACUCAGCAGGUACGGAAGCAAUGAUGGUCCACUGGUAUUUCCUGUUUCCCCAGAGUCCCAGAGCUCGUGAAGGAAUGUGUAAGACGACACCACGCUGGCUUUCCAGUGGGAGCGUCCUUCCUGAACGGUGUCGCCAGGCAACCCCAGGUGUGACGUGAGCCCGUCCGCGUGCAAACUGAUUACGGUGCAAGAACUCGGCCCGGGACUCCCUGCCAACGUGGGGCACUGACAUUUCGUGGUGUUCUCCCUUGCCCUCGAGCCUCCCUCCGGUUCCUCACGGUGCCACUUCAAAGAGCUCAGUCCCAAUAUCCAAACCAAUGGCCAUUCUGGAAGGGCUGCCAGGGUCAGACUUCCAGAAAGCCAGGACUGCUCGGGUGCCGUCUGGGCAAAGCCACGUCACUCUUCUCUGGGUUUCCAAACGGCCCACGGCCGGAUAGCUCGGGUCGCAUCCGAGACUCCAGGGCCUGUCACGACAUCAUCGACGGCCGUGGACCACACUGCGUCUGGGAACGGCGGGGUCGCGACCUGUCCCUCCCUACUCGACAGCGACCUCCCGCACUGGGCC
ensembl:lncRNA